rnacentral:rRNA from 1 species
GACGAACUGUCCUAACGUUGUUCGGAAUCACUGGGCUUAAAGGGCGCGUAGGCGGCCCGUCAAGUCCCGUGUGAAAGCCCCCGGCUCAACCGGGGAACGGCGCGGGAAACUAGCAGGCUUGAGUUCGGGAGAGGGAAGCGGAAUUCCGGGUGUAGCGGUGAAAUGCGCAGAUAUCCGGAGGAACACCGGUGGCGAAGGCGGCUUCCUGGACCGACACUGACGCUGAGGCGCGAAAGCUAGGGGAGCAAACGGG